rnacentral:rRNA from 1 species
CGUGUAGGCGGUCUCGCAAGUCGGAUGUGAAAGCCCUCGGCUUAACCGAGGAAGUGCGUUCGAAACUACGAGACUUGAGUGCCGGAGAGGGUGGCGGAAUUCCCGGUGUAGAGGUGAAAUUCGUAGAUAUCGGGAGGAACACCAGUGGCGAAGGCGGCCACCUGGACGGUCACUGACGCUGAGACGCGAAAGCGUGGGGAGCAAACA